AAGAGAGGCAGCGGCUGCCGUGAAGGCUGGGAUCGGAUGGGAGAGGUCCUUCUUGGGCUCUAUUUGUUUGUUUGUGACUGGAGCUGCAAAGUUCAGAGCCAAACGUGUUGCUUUCCGGCGGCGGCGACCGCCCCGCUUCACCUGCUCCGCUGACGGGUGCCUACCCGGGGCGGCCCCGCGGCUCUGCGGGUCCUCUGCCCGGCAUCCUGCCUGCCGCUGGGGCCGACGGACGCCAGAGGAGCGGGGGCUGUGUCUCUCGCCUGCCCGCCUUCCCCUCCGCGCCUGCCGGAGGGCAACGGACAGGUAAAUACCCUGUUUGAACACAUUGUCAAAAGAAACUGCUAGAGACUUCAAAGGUAAGGACCUCCUAAAAAAUGCUUCAAAUGAUCAUUUGUUCUGGUUUAUCAGAAAAGAAAAUAGAGAAUGUUAAUUCUUUCUGACUAUCUGGCUGAUCAAGAAUUGCAGAUGGCAUUAAUCAGCAUAGACUUCCUGUUCAUAAAACUGUUUA
rnacentral:lncRNA from 1 species